rnacentral:rRNA from 1 species
AAUCAACGCUGGCGGCGUGCCUCAGACAUGCAAGUCGAACGAUUAGGACUUCCUUCGGGAAGUGCAUAAAGUGGCGCACGGGUGAGUAACACGUAAGUAAUCUACCCUCGAGUGGGGAAUAACGUUCGGAAACGGACGCUAAUACCGCAUAAUGCAGCGGCACCGCAAGGUGACAGUUGUUAAAGAUUUAUCGCUUGAGGAGGAGCUUGCGGCAGAUUAGCUAGUUGGUAAGGUAAUGGCUUACCAAGGCUACGAUCUGUAACCGGUCUUAGAGGACGGUCGGUCACACUGACACUGAAUAACGGGUCAGACUCCUACGGGAGGCAGCAGUCGGGAAUUUUGGGCAAUGGGCGAAAGCCUGACCCAGCAACGCCGCGUGAAGGAUGAAGUAUUUCGGUAUGUAAACUUCGAAAGAAUAGGAAGAAUUGAUGACGGUACUAUUUAUAAGGUCCGGCUAACUACGUGCCAGCCGCCGCCGUAAAAC